GCCUGGGUGGCGGAAUAGGCAGACGCAUGGGACUUAAAAUUCCAUGGGGAUUUUCCCCGUACGGGUUCGAUUCCCGUCCCAGGCACCA
rnacentral:tRNA from 1 species